rnacentral:rRNA from 1 species
GACGAACGCUGGCGGCGUGCCUAAUACAUGCAAGUUGAGCGAUGAAGAUUGGUGCUUGCACCAAUUUGAAGAGCAGCGAACGGGUGAGUAACGCGUGGGGAAUCUGCCUUUGAGCGGGGGACAACAUUUGGAAACGAAUGCUAAUACCGCAUAACAACUUUAAACAUAAGUUUUAAGUUUGAAAGAUGCAAUUGCAUCACUCAAAGAUGAUCCCGCGUUGUAUUAGCUGGUUGGUGAGGUAAAGGCUCACCAAGGCGAUGAUACAUAGCCGACCUGAGAGGGUGAUCGGCCACAUUGGGACUGAGACACGGCCCAAACUCCUACGGGAGGCAGCAGUAGGGAAUCUUCGGCAAUGGACGAAAGUCUGACCGAGCGACGCCGCGUGAGUGAAGAAGGUUGUCGGAUCGUAAAACUCUGUUGGUAGAGAAGAACGUUGGUGAGAGUGGAAAGCUCAUCAAGUGACGGUAACUACCCAGAAAGGGACGGCUAACUACGUG